UACGGAGGGGGCUAGCGUUGUUCGGAAUUACUGGGCGUAAAGCGCACGUAGGCGGCUUUGUAAGUUAGAGGUGAAAGCCCGCUGCUUAACGGCGGGUUGGCUUCCGGUACGGGCAUCGCUGGAGUGCGGCAGGGGAGACUGGAAUUCCUGGUGUAGCAGUGAAAUGCGUAGAUAUCGGGAGGAACACCUGUGGCGAAAGCGGCUCACUGGACCACAACUGACGCUGAGGCGCGAAAGCUAGGGGAGCAAACAGG
rnacentral:rRNA from 1 species